rnacentral:tRNA from 1 species
AGUAUCUUGUCCGAGUGGUUACGGAGGCGCUUUCCAAGCGUAAGCGCGGGAGUUCGAAUCUCAGUGAUAAUG